CCCGCACAAGCGGUGGAGCAUGUGGUUUAAUUCGACGCAACGCGAAGAACCUUACCAGGGCUUGACAUCCCCUGACCGCGUAUGAAAGUACGUUUUCACCUCGGGUGACAGGGAGACAGGUGCUGCAUGGCUGUCGUCAGCUCGUGUCGUGAGAUGUUCGGUUAAGUCCGCUAACGAGCGCAACCCUCGCUGUGUGUUACAAGUGUCACACGGAACUGCCGGUCAUAAACCGGAGGAAGGUGGGAUGACGUCAAAUCAUCAUGCCCCUUAUGUUCUGGGCUACACACGUGCUACAAUGGCCGGUACAGACGGACGCAAAGCCGCGAGGUGGAGCAAAUCCUAAAAAGCCGGUCUCAGUUCGGAUUGCAGGCUGCAAUUCGCCUGCAUGAAGUCGGAAUCGCUAGUAAUCGCAGGUCAGCAUACUGCGGUGAAUACGUUCCCGGGCCUU
rnacentral:rRNA from 1 species